rnacentral:rRNA from 1 species
GAUGAACGCUGGCGGCGUGCCUAAUACAUGCAAGUCGAGCGAACGGACGAGACGCUUGCUUCUCUGAUGUUAGCGGCGGACGGGUGAGUAACACGUGGAUAACCUACCUAUAAGACUGAGAUAACUUCGGGAAACCGGAGCUAAUACCGGAUAAUAUUUUGAACCGCAUGGUUCAAAAGUGAAAGACGGUCUUGCUGUCACUUAUAGAUGGAUCCGCGCUGCAUUAGCUAGUUGGUAAGGUAACGGCUUACCAAGGCAACGAUGCAUAGCCGACCUGAGAGGGUGAUCGGCCACACUGGAACUGAGACACGGUCCAGACUCCUACGGGAGGCAGCAGUAGGGAAUCUUCCGCAAUGGGCGAAAGCCUGACGGAGCAACGCCGCGUGAGUGAUGAAGGUCUUCGGAUCGUAAAACUCUGUUAGUAGGGAAGAACAUAUGUGUAAGUAACUGUGCACAUCUUGACGGUACCUAAUCAGAAAGCCACGGCUAACUACGUG